GUACGAUCCGAUCGUCAGCCGCGUUGCUACGCGACGUAAACAGAUUCGAAAACAAACAAUUGUUUCAAAAUCUGUUUACGUUGCGUAGCAACGCUGCUGGCGAUCGGAUCAAACGGAGAGGCUGCGUCUCGAGGACAAACUAGAGGCUCAUUGUUUACUUCCGGCAUCUGUUCCGUUCGGUAGGCGACUUUAGACUGGUCUGCCGUGUUUCGCACAUCGUAGAAGAUUCUCGAAGGUGUGAGAACGCUCGUCUGUGCGUACAUUCUGUGAUUUGGGACAACGGAGGAUGGAAAUCGACGACGACCCGAAGUUGGCGGAUUUGCAGCUGCGACGAACUUCACUCAUCUCUGGACAUCAAACCGAGGAGAACGGGAUCGACGCCACGUAAAGGGCAUGCAAUUGAAAUCAGAAGGAUGACGUAUUUUCUUACCUGGCCACCUUCUCCGACCAUGACGUCACCCGAAGUUUCCUCCGGGACGAAAUCCGGCGGAACAACGAUGUUCAAACGGCCUGUCUGAGAGAAACGGAUCAUAGACGGUACUUUCACGCUGUGGUUUUUCAAUCUCGGUAAUGGAAUCUGCUGAAAUUAUGACAUCGACGAUCAAGCUUUUACAGGAUCAACUCUGCGAUAAAGGGAUGAUUUUAAUUUGGAAGCAACUUUCGCAGUGCGUCAAAUCAUUGGAUCGGGUAUGUCAAAUAAACUUAAGCUUGACUC